AGGGUCGGUGGGUGGUCAUGGUGCUACAGGUAUCCCAGGAACUCCUGGCCCACAGGGUUUCAGAGGGGAAGGAGGCGCUCCAGGACCGAAAGGAGAGAAGGGACCAGCUGGACCUCCAGGAAAUAAGGGCGAGCCAGGAGAGAAAGGACUCCGUGGAACAUCAGGUG